AUUCCUACGGGAGGCAGCAGUGGGGAAUCUUAGACAAUGGGCGCAAGCCUGAUCUAGCCAUGCCGCGUGAGUGACGAAGGCCUUAGGGUCGUAAAGCUCUUUCGCCAGGGAUGAUAAUGACAGUACCUGGUAAAGAAACCCCGGCUAACUCCGUGCCAGCAGCCGCGGUAAUACGGAGGGGGUUAGCGUUGUUCGGAAUUACUGGGCGUAAAGCGCACGUAGGCGGACUGGAAAGUUGGGGGUGAAAUCCCGGGGCUCAACCUCGGAACUGCCUCCAAAACUACUAGUCUAGAGUUCGAGAGAGGUGAGUGGAAUUCCGAGUGUAGAGGUGAAAUUCGUAGAUAUUCGGAGGAACACCAGUGGCGAAGGCGGCUCACUGGCUCGAUACUGACGCUGAGGUGCGAAAGUGUGGGGAGCAAACAGGAUUAGAUACCCUGGUAGUCCACACCGUAAACGAUGAAUGCCAGUCGUCGGCAAGCAUGCUUGUCGGUGACACACCUAACGGAUUAAGCAUUCCGCCUGGGGAGUACGGUCGCAAGAUUAAAACUCAAAUGAAUUGACGGAAU
rnacentral:rRNA from 1 species